rnacentral:rRNA from 1 species
GCCUACGGGGCGCAGCAGUUGGGAAUAUUGGACAAUGGAGGAAACUCUGAUCCAGCCAAGCCGCGUGAAGGACGAAGGUGCCAAGCAUUGUAAACUUCUUUUGUCAAGGGACAAAAUCAGGCUCGAGAGCCUGACCGAGGGUACUUGAAGAAAAAGCAUCGGCUAACUCCGUGCCAGCAGCCGCGGUAAUACGGAGGAUGCGAGCGUUAUCCGGAUUUAUUGGGUUUAAAGGGUGCGUAGGCGGACUGUUAAGUCAGCGGUAAAAGCCCGGGGCUCAACCCCGGCGAGCCGUUGAAACUGGCUGU